rnacentral:tRNA from 1 species
UGCGAGAUGGAGCAGUGGUUAGCUCGUCAGCCUCAUAAGCUGAAGGUCGGAGGUUCAAAUCCUCCUCUCGCUACC